rnacentral:rRNA from 1 species
AACGAACGCUGGCGGCAUGCCUAACACAUGCAAGUCGAACGAGAUCUUCGGGUCUAGUGGCGCACGGGUGCGUAACGCGUGGGAAUCUGCCCUUUGGUUCGGAAUAACAGUUGGAAACGACUGCUAAUACCGGAUGAUGACGAAAGUCCAAAGAUUUAUCGCCAGAGGAUGAGCCCGCGUAGGAUUAGCUAGUUGGUGUGGUAAAGGCGCACCAAGGCGACGAUCCUUAGCUGGUCUGAGAGGACGAUCAGCCACACUGGGACUGAGACACGGCCCAGACUCCUACGGGAGGCAGCAGUGGGGAAUAUUGGACAAUGGGCGGAAGCCUGAUCCAGCAAUGCCGCGUGAGUGAUGAAGGCCUUAGGGUUGUAAAGCUCUUUUACCCGGGAUGAUAAUGACAGUACCGGGAGAAUAAGCUCCGGCUAACUCCGUGCCAGCAGCCGCCGUAA